rnacentral:rRNA from 1 species
UACGUAGGUGGCAAGCGUUAUCCGGAUUUACUGGGUGUAAAGGGCGUGUAGGCGGGACUGUAAGUCAGGCGUGAAAACCAUGGGCUCAACCCAUGGCCUGCGUUUGAAACUAUAGUUCUUGAGUGUCGGAGAGGCAAUCGGAAUUCCGUGUGUAGCGGUGAAAUGCGUAGAUAUACGGAGGAACACCAGUGGCGAAGGCGGAUUGCUGGACGAUAACUGACGCUGAGGCGCGAAAGCGUGGGGAGCAAAC